GGGGAUGUAAUGGUUUCGACGGGGGUUUUGAACCUUGGUAAGCGAGUAGCGGCGCGGAACCGCUAUAAAAGCCGCAUCUUUAAAAUAACUGACAACAACAAAGUUGCAUUAGCUGCGUAAGCAGCUUGUCCUGACAGAGAGCACCGCGGCUCUGUUAAGGGCAUCGACCCAGCGGUAAAUGUGAACCGAAGCGUGUCUCCGCCUCGGUCAUAACGUAGAGACUACCCGAGCAUAAAGCCUGUUAUUGGGCGUUUUGCAAGGGGAAUCAUAAUACAAUAACUACACUCGUAGAAAGCCUUGGCAAAGAGCUUUCGGACGGGGGUCCGACUCCCCCCAUCUCCACCA
rnacentral:tmRNA from 1 species